rnacentral:rRNA from 3 species
AGCGUACACGGUGGAUGCCCUGGCAGUCAGAGGCGAUGAAGGACGUGCUAAUCUGCGAUAAGCGUCGGUAAGGUGAUAUGAACCGUUAUAACCGGCGAUUUCCGAAUGGGGAAACCCAGUGUGUUUCGACACACUAUCAUUAACUGAAUCCAUAGGUUAAUGAGGCGAACCGGGGGAACUGAAACAUCUAAGUACCCCGAGGAAAAGAAAUCAACCGAGAUUCCCCCAGUAGCGGCGAGCGAACGGGGAGCAGCCCAGAGCCUGAAUCAGUGUGUGUGUUAGUGGAAGCGUCUGGAAAGGCGCGCGAUACAGGGUGACAGCCCCGUACACAAAAAUGCACAUGCUGUGAGCUCGAUGAGUAGGGCGGGACACGUGGUAUCCUGUCUGAAUAUGGGGGGACCAUCCUCCAAGGCUAAAUACUCCUGACUGACCGAUAGUGAACCAGUACCGUGAGGGAAAGGCGAAAAGAACCCCGGCGAGGGGAGUGAAAAAGAACCUGAAACCGUGUACGUACAAGCAGUGGGAGCACGCUUAGGCGUGUGACUGCGUACCUUUUGUAUAAUGGGUCAGCGACUUAUAUUCUGUAGCAAGGUUAACCGAAUAGGGGAGCCGAAGGGAAACCGAGUCUUAACUGGGCGUUAAGUUGCAGGGUAUAGACCCGAAACCCGGUGAUCUAGCCAUGGGCAGGUUGAAGGUUGGGUAACACUAACUGGAGGACCGAACCGACUAAUGUUGAAAAAUUAGCGGAUGACUUGUGGCUGGGGGUGAAAGGCCAAUCAAACCGGGAGAUAGCUGGUUCUCCCCGAAAGCUAUUUAGGUAGCGCCUCGUGAAUUCAUCUCCGGGGGUAGAGCACUGUUUCGGCAAGGGGGUCAUCCCGACUUACCAACCCGAUGCAAACUGCGAAUACCGGAGAAUGUUAUCACGGGAGACACACGGCGGGUGCUAACGUCCGUCGUGAAGAGGGAAACAACCCAGACCGCCAGCUAAGGUCCCAAAGUCAUGGUUAAGUGGGAAACGAUGUGGGAAGGCCCAGACAGCCAGGAUGUUGGCUUAGAAGCAGCCAUCAUUUAAAGAAAGCGUAAUAGCUCACUGGUCGAGUCGGCCUGCGCGGAAGAUGUAACGGGGCUAAACCAUGCACCGAAGCUGCGGCAGCGACGCUUAUGCGUUGUUGGGUAGGGGAGCGUUCUGUAAGCCUGCGAAGGUGUGCUGUGAGGCAUGCUGGAGGUAUCAGAAGUGCGAAUGCUGACAUAAGUAACGAUAAAGCGGGUGAAAAGCCCGCUCGCCGGAAGACCAAGGGUUCCUGUCCAACGUUAAUCGGGGCAGGGUGAGUCGACCCCUAAGGCGAGGCCGAAAGGCGUAGUCGAUGGGAAACAGGUUAAUAUUCCUGUACUUGGUGUUACUGCGAAGGGGGGACGGAGAAGGCUAUGUUGGCCGGGCGACGGUUGUCCCGGUUUAAGCGUGUAGGCUGGUUUUCCAGGCAAAUCCGGAAAAUCAAGGCUGAGGCGUGAUGACGAGGCACUACGGUGCUGAAGCAACAAAUGCCCUGCUUCCAGGAAAAGCCUCUAAGCAUCAGGUAACAUCAAAUCGUACCCCAAACCGACACAGGUGGUCAGGUAGAGAAUACCAAGGCGCUUGAGAGAACUCGGGUGAAGGAACUAGGCAAAAUGGUGCCGUAACUUCGGGAGAAGGCACGCUGAUAUGUAGGUGAGGUCCCUCGCGGAUGGAGCUGAAAUCAGUCGAAGAUACCAGCUGGCUGCAACUGUUUAUUAAAAACACAGCACUGUGCAAACACGAAAGUGGACGUAUACGGUGUGACGCCUGCCCGGUGCCGGAAGGUUAAUUGAUGGGGUUAGCGCAAGCGAAGCUCUUGAUCGAAGCCCCGGUAAACGGCGGCCGUAACUAUAACGGUCCUAAGGUAGCGAAAUUCCUUGUCGGGUAAGUUCCGACCUGCACGAAUGGCGUAAUGAUGGCCAGGCUGUCUCCACCCGAGACUCAGUGAAAUUGAACUCGCUGUGAAGAUGCAGUGUACCCGCGGCAAGACGGAAAGACCCCGUGAACCUUUACUAUAGCUUGACACUGAACAUUGAGCCUUGAUGUGUAGGAUAGGUGGGAGGCUUUGAAGUGUGGACGCCAGUCUGCAUGGAGCCGACCUUGAAAUACCACCCUUUAAUGUUUGAUGUUCUAACGUUGACCCGUAAUCCGGGUUGCGGACAGUGUCUGGUGGGUAGUUUGACUGGGGCGGUCUCCUCCUAAAGAGUAACGGAGGAGCACGAAGGUUGGCUAAUCCUGGUCGGACAUCAGGAGGUUAGUGCAAUGGCAUAAGCCAGCUUGACUGCGAGCGUGACGGCGCGAGCAGGUGCGAAAGCAGGUCAUAGUGAUCCGGUGGUUCUGAAUGGAAGGGCCAUCGCUCAACGGAUAAAAGGUACUCCGGGGAUAACAGGCUGAUACCGCCCAAGAGUUCAUAUCGACGGCGGUGUUUGGCACCUCGAUGUCGGCUCAUCACAUCCUGGGGCUGAAGUAGGUCCCAAGGGUAUGGCUGUUCGCCAUUUAAAGUGGUACGCGAGCUGGGUUUAGAACGUCGUGAGACAGUUCGGUCCCUAUCUGCCGUGGGCGCUGGAGAACUGAGGGGGGCUGCUCCUAGUACGAGAGGACCGGAGUGGACGCAUCACUGGUGUUCGGGUUGUCAUGCCAAUGGCACUGCCCGGUAGCUAAAUGCGGAAGAGAUAAGUGCUGAAAGCAUCUAAGCACGAAACUUGCCCCGAGAUGAGUUCUCCCUGACUCCUUGA